CACAUCAGUUUCCAUAUGGUACCUUUAGACGUCUCCAAGUGUCUCAUAACCUCUCCAACCUCACCAAAUACAAAAUCCAGUACCUGUCACUGUACAUCAAGAAUUCAUACUUUUUUCUUGCUUUCUGUACUACAGCAAACCAUUCUGAAUUAAUUUCAGUGUAAUAUAUUGUAAUGUAUUGUGACAACACAUAUGAUGGUCUAUAGCCUCUCCAAAAUAUACCCAAAAACCUAUCCAGAUCCAUAUAAAAGUACAUCAUGUAUGUUUCGUGGUUUUGUACUCAAAAGUACAUCAUGUAUGUUUUGUGGAGGUGUGUGGUGGGGUGUGGAGGUGGUGGAGGUGUGUGGAGGUGGUGUAGGGGUGUGUGGAGGUGUGUAGUGGUGUGUAGUGGUGUGUAGGGGUGUGUGGAGGUGUGGAGGUGUGUAGUGGAGGUGGUGUAGUGGUGUGUGGAGGUGUGUAGUGGUGUGGAGGUGGUGUAGUGGGGUGUGGAGGCGUGUGGAGGUGUUGUAGUGGUGUGUGGAGGUGGUGUAGUGGGGUGUGGAGGCGUGUGGAGGUGGUGUAGUGGGGUGUAGUGGUGUGUGGAGGUGGUGUAGUGGUGUGUGGAGGUGUGUGGAGGUGUGUGGUGGGGUGUGGUGGUGUAGUGGGGUGUGGGUGUGGAGGGAUAAGAUGAGAUGAGUUCUGUUCUGAUGAGAUGAGAUCUGUUCAGAUGAGAUGAAAUGAGUGG
ensembl:lncRNA